UAGUGAUAGAUUAUUGACGUUGCUGUUGUUCAAGGUAUUAGAGCCUGAUGGUGUCGCAGUCAGGUUAGCAAUCACGGUGGAAGGGCGUGUUUGAGUCUGGUUGGCGGUUAUGUUGGGAGGGUUUGUCUGGGUCAGGUUGGCGGUUAUGUUGGGAGGGUUUGUCUGGGUCAGGUUGGCGGUUAUGUUGGGAGGGUGUGUCUGGGUCAGGUUGGCGGUUAUGUUGGGAGGGUGUGUCUGGGUCAGGUUGGCGGUUAUGUUGGGAGGGUGUGUCUGGGUCAGGUUGACGGUUAUGUUGGGAGGGUUUGUCUGGGUCAGGUUGGCGGUUAUGUUGGGAGGGUUUGUCUGGGUCAGGUUGGCGGUUAUGUUGGGAGGGUUUGUCUGGGUCAGGUUGGCGGUUAUGUUGGGAGGGUUUGUCUGGGUCAGGUUGGCGGUUAUGUUGGGAGGGUUUGUCUGGGACAGGUUGGCGGUUAUGUUGGGAGGGUGUGUCUGGGUCAGGUUGGCGGUUAUGUUGGGAGGGUGUGUCUGGGUCAGGUUGGCGGUAAUGUUGGGAGGGUUUGUCUGGGUCAGGUUGGCGGUUAUGUUGGGAGGGUGUGUCUGGGUCAGGUUGGCGGUUAUGUUGGGAGGGUUUGUCUGGGUCAGGUUGGCGGUUAUGUUGGUAGGGUUUGUCUGGGUCAGGUUGGCGGUUAUGUUGGGAGGGUGUGUCUGGGUCAGGUUGGUGGUUAUGUUUGGAGGGUUUGUCUGGGUCAGGUUGGUGGUUAUGUUGGGAGGGUAUGUUUGGGGCAGGAUAGCGGUUAUGUUGGGAGGGUGUGUUUGGGUCAGGUUGGUGGUUGUGUUGGGAGGGUUUGUCUGGGUCAGGUUGGUGGUCAUGCUGGGUGGGUUCGUCUGGGUCAGGUUGGUGGUAAUGUUGGGUGGUAGUGUCUGGGUCAGGUUGGUGGUCAUGUUGGUUGGUAGCGUCUGGGUCAGGCUGGUGGUCAUGUUAGAAGAUAUCCAGCUGUCUGUAGAGUUGCUACUGCUUGUUGUAUUGCUCCCAUUGACUCCAAGCAUCAUGCAUGCUAUCCCCAGGAUAGCCACAUAAAUCCAUUUACUCCUCAUCCGUGAUCUUUAUGUGCUUAUGUAUCUGUUAAUCGUGCAGUUUUUGUUACCUAUAAUUUAAAAGAAAACAAAUCAUCUUGUAUAAUCAACAAAAAAAAAUAAACAUUUUGGAUAAUUUAAAUUUGAUUUUAAAAGCCAUUAACGAAAGGCAGGCUUUAUCUGAAAGACUUUGUCGUUCAUAAUCUUUUAUCAUUCCUUCCCAGACACAAACAAGCAUGAACCUGGAUCCUCAAUUCAUCAACACCUUAGUUUAUUUACCACAUCUUAUUUAGCAAUAUGGUAUUCAUAAAUAUUAUGGCAUUUUAACAAUUUAACCUUAACACUAACAUACGAGUUUUGCUUAAUGUCUUUUCAUUUCUUUAUCUCAGCAAUGGUUGUUUGUUUGAUGGAACUAAGAGGCUAUCUAUGCAAUCUUCAAAUAAUUCUUGUUACACAACAUUAUAUACUACACAGUGCAACCAUUUAACCUUCUUACUAUGGUAAAGUGUAAAAUUACAGAAUUUGAUAGAUCCUCAAAAUCCAUCCUCAAAACUAAGUGAGCAUAAAAAAAUAAAAUUUUUGCAACUAAAAACUUUUUUUUUUUAAUGUAUGCUUUAGAAGUCAGUGGCUCCUUAGUCAUUCCAUAGUCUCUCGAAAAGUUGGGUCGUUCAGACAGGAUAGCACCGUCCAAUAACACAAAGUAUUUUUAUUUUUUUUCCAGAGUAGACACAACAUUUUGUAAAAAUGUACCAAAAAUUAAAUAAUACAUAAUUGACUUCUAUUUUUAUAACUAAUUUGAAUUAUAAUAUAAAGAUAAAAUAUAUUCAAUUGAUAGGCUAUCUAAUAUUCAUUCAGUACAAUGCAUAAUAAGAUUUGUAAUUUAUGAUCAAACUCAGAUAAAAUAAUAAAAAAUAAAAAAAAACAGCAUGCAUUGGUAUCUGAACAAACAGGAAAAAACAG
ensembl:lncRNA